CCAAAAUGUUUUUGUAGCCUACGACUGGAAUUAUGGAUCUCCAAUGAUGCUUCUUUGCAGGUCUACGGAAAGAAGGGUGUUAUUAGUAAGCGUAUGGCUGCAGAGAGAGAGAGGCGUUGGCUUCAAUUGAAGUGAAUGGGAGAUGGAUCGAAUACUCGUCGGGUGGAAGUGUAAUGUACAAAAAAGAAUCCAUACAGGUAUAAAAGAAACAACCUCAUGGAUUGGAAAAAAACAAUUGCCAGUGAACAUAAUCCAUUUAGCAAUUACACUCCCCUCAACAUGUAUAGGCAAAACCACUUGGUGUUGUAGCGUAUUAUGUUGUUUUUAGAAGCCAGGAUUGCACAAGCCUACUAGGAGCCAAAACCAAAAAUGUGAUGACAUCAGUAUUCCCAACAAAUCAAACCCAAGUGACAGAAUGGUAUGAUAUUACCCAAGAGGACAUCCUGGAUAUGUCCUGGGGAUUUUUACAGAAAUUGCAAUUUACAACAGCUCUUGAUUACAUACUUUAAUAAUAUAAAUAACAUAUUAUGGGGUUUUUCUAAAUAGUACCAACAUGUUUUGUUAGCUUAGAUCAUUUCCAGGGGUGUAAAGCAAUACUAUGUUAUAGUGCUCCCAUUCUGCCUUUCACUCUGCUGCCCACCUACAUUGAGAACACUUGAUCUUUGUUAGUUUGUUUCGAGAUGGAAGAAGCAGAAACACCACCUUCAACACCUUCAACUUUCAAGUGAUCGUGGCGGUGAGGGUGAGGAAGGAGACCACCCCUGGCCCUACUUAGAGUCCAUGUUUUCAUUUGUCGAAGUGAAAGACAAUUCAUAUAGAAUGAAGUGCCUACUCUGCCUCCCGAAAGAUUGCGAAAUAAUGGCCUUCAAAAAUUCACCGUUGAAUUUGAAGAAACAUAUCAAGCACGAUGAAAUCAAACCACCUCCAUCCAGCUCUGGAGCGAGCACAAACCAGCCAGUCCUUUUGUUUUGGCCUCCCUCCCUGUGUGGAGAAAGUCAAACCCCCUCAGCAGGAGCUUGUGACUGAUGAGGAAACAUCCCAGAGUAAACACGUCCAUUUGGCUGAAGGAUCCCUGCUGUUGUUCUUCUAAACAACCCCACCUCCUCCCUCCUGUCUCCUAUUUUCCAGUGCAUUGUGGGAUGACAAAUAAACAGGUCCAGGCGGAGGAGGAGUCCAAUGUUCAGCCUCCACACCAGGCAUCUGUGGCUGUUUUCUCAAAGCCAGCUGAAGCACCAGAGCUGACUCACUGUGACUGCGAAUCAGCCCGCACACACAACAAGAGGACAUGUCAUUCAGAACACAUCUGUGUGUCCAAGCAACGUACCUCACAACAAUACAUCCAUAUACAGUACUGUACACACUUAAAGACAAUAUGUCAUUGUUUGAUCUCUGGCUGUAGGAACAGAUAGUUCCCUAACAAAAGCAAGAAAUAGGGAAUAUAAAUAAAAAUAGAUUAACUGUAGACAUAAUAAUGUUGUCCAGAGUCACAGCACUACUAUCUGUGUUAAUGAAAAAUAACCACAACAUGAAUUUUUUUUUAAAAUGACAUAGUUGAAGUAAGCAAUGAGUGAGGAUAGACAUUUUAACAAUACUAAGAACAGACAAACAGCAAAUUUUAAAGUCCUUAACACCUAUUUGACUGUUAUUAUCCGGCCUAAACAAUGAAGUUAAAAGAUCCGUCAAUCUGUACGUACCAUAUAUGAAAAAUGGACGUAGCAUUGGUGAAGUCGUCCAUUCAUUUGUGGACUGCCGUUUUGAAGCCAGGAGUUGGCAUUUUGGCCGUCACCAUCUUGGUAUUUUGGAGCCAGAAGUGACCAUAUUUGCACAAAAGGGCAGAGCUGGGGAGGAUGAUGGUGUAUGGUUUCAAUGGCACUGUGCUAAGCUAAACGCUAAAGAGGGAAAGUUGCCGAUUUUCAACUCUUCUGAAAUUGUGGUGGAAUUUCUAGCUUACGGACUCAUGCUAUGUAUGCCUUGCUUGUCUGUCAAAGCACUUUGCAAACUUUGUUUUUAAAGGUGCUUUAGAAAUAAAGGUAUUAUUAUGUAAGUUGAGAUAGAGGUACCACAGGUGUCAUUCAGGUCGGUGUCCAACAUAACCUCAUAACCUUUCACAGCCGAGGAGUACUUCAACUUUGUGUGUCCAUAGAUUCAGGGAAUCUAGGCAGCUGCGUGAUAAGGAAAUGUUUUAUUUCAGGACUGUCUCCUUUUGGAGGUCACUGGGCCUGCCACAGAGAUAUAGGCUGGACUAGGCUUUAGCAUCUGGGUUUCAGGCGCCUGCAAUAUCUUUGUUUAUAUUGAUGAUUCAGCUAAACGUAACGCCUCCAGCAUGAGUUUAAAUACUCCUUCAGGAAGACAGGAACAGUAACAGCACAGUAACACAUUGUGGUUAAACUUUACUGUCUACCUUAAUUGUGUCCUCAAUUAAGAAUUUAUUAAAUGCUCCUGUGU